UACGUAGGGUGCAAGCGUUGUCCGGAAUUAUUGGGCGUAAAGAGCUCGUAGGCGGUCUGUCGCGUCUGCUGUGAAAACUCAGGGCUUAACCCUGAGCUUGCAGUGGGUACGGGCAGACUAGAGUGCGGUAGGGGAGACUGGAAUUCCUGGUGUAGCGGUGGAAUGCGCAGAUAUCUGGAGGAACACCGGUGGCGAAGGCGGCAUCCUGGACCGGCAUUGACGCUGAGGCGGCGAAAGCUAGGGGAGCAAACGG
rnacentral:rRNA from 1 species